UUUUACGAGCGUCCAGCAAGGCAGCCGAGGUCGAGGAGAUCCAUCCCGACCUCGGUUGCCUUGCUGGACGACCGAGUGA
rnacentral:pre_miRNA from 1 species